rnacentral:RNase_P_RNA from 2 species
UCAGUUGCAAUCUAGCAUCUGGGGCUUACACACGGGUAUUUGAUUACUCUACCACAGCCCCGGGAAGGUCUGAGAUAUGGUCAAGGAGUUCACUAAAAGCAUCGAGUUGAAAUGAUGUUUGAACUUUUAAAUUUUCUAGCAGGAAACUUGUAUGAUUAAAAGGCAAAAGGACAAGAAAUUCUGUAUUUUUGUUAGAAUAUGAAAAUACAUUGAAAUCUUUUGUGACCAGCAAUUUAAGUGCAAUGUGCUCGCUGUUCUUCCAACAGAACAGAACUCAAUUCAGACUAAUCUGUGGCUGA